AAAACUAUUUAAAGUUACAAGAAAAAAAUGGAGACAUGUACCAUCUCAGUUGAUGCAAAUUCAAGAUUUCAACAACCAAAAUUUAUUUGAACACUGAAACGAGCACGAAGAAGCUCUAUUGUAUCGGUGAAUUGGCCAAAUAUUACAAAACCUGCCAAUCAAGUCAUGUGCCUGAAUUGAUGAAUCCAGUUUAAAAACGUGCACACGAGUGUGUUCGACUGGACUUAAUGCAAUCCACUGCUGUCCAAAUUUUAUAGUCAGUAGAGACACAACUAGAAUUUUAUUCUAAAUUUAGAGUUGAACUGGAUAGAAGGUGCUCUUCUUUUCGAACCUAUUUUAUCUAUUACAAUGUACAGUAGUAUUUGUAUGCCCUUUUACCUUCUGAUUUUGUAGAGAGGUGACAAGAAGGAAGUUUUACAUUUUCAGACCAUAAAACUCAUUUUAAAGAGGAUUGGUUUAGCGUGCUGUAAUAAAAUUGGACUAACUUGGAUACACGAUUUUAAGGAACAAGAUUGUAAAUCACUCCUUCAGAUGACCCUCGAGAAACUCUGCAAGUUUUUAAGAAACAAUAUAGUAAAUCUGAUGAGGAUUUUGUUAGUUUGAUGCCUAUUCUUCGAGUAGUGUUCUGUAAAAUCACACUAUGAAUUUACGUUCGUUUAUUUGCGCCUGAAU
rnacentral:lncRNA from 1 species